UACGAGGGGAGCAAGCGUUGUUCGGAUUUACUGGGCGUAAAGGGCGCGUAGGCGGCGCAACAAGUCACUUGUGAAAUCUCCGGGCUUAACCCGGAGCGGCCAAGUGAUACUGUCGUGCUAGAGUGCGGAAGGGGCUACUGGAAUUCUCGGUGUAGCGGUGAAAUGCGUAGAUAUCGAGAGGAACACCGGUGGCGAAGGCGGGUCUCUGGGCCGAUACUGACGCUGAGGAGCGAAAGCGUGGGGAGCGAACAGG
rnacentral:rRNA from 1 species